CUCCUCUUGGUUGCUUUGAGGAUGGAGACUGUUAUCUGCCUAACAAUAUAAUGAUUCUACUCUGCAAUAUAAUAGAUUUAAUACAACUGAAGGUUGAGUUUGCUUCUUUUGUCAUAUUGGUUGCUGAGGUUGUUGCAUAAUAUGUUCAGUAACAAGAUUUUGGUUUUCAUUGGCAUAUCCACAGGGUUUCAAGGAACUCUCAGGUAAUGCGUACAAGCUGCUGACUAGAAUGUUUAAAUGGAAGAAUGUCUCAAUUGAGAAGUGGUUGGCUUUUCUUUGGGAAAGUAGAAUGCUAAGUCAUGCUCUAUGUGUUUCACCUAUCUGUGAGGCAUUCCAGAAUUCAUUAGAGCACUUUAAUAAACUUUCAAAUAUUGGAUCUUGGACACGUUAUCUUCAAGGAAACCAUUCAUCAUUAAUAGGGUUUCAACAGAUUUUCUCAUUUUUUACUUUCUAGCUCUUAGAAAAUUUCUUGCUGUAAUGGAGACUCUUUUCAAAAUGACAUUACAGCUGAUGAUGUUCGAAAGGCUGCUCUGGAACUGAUUUCAAAUGUUUCUGUUCCAAAUCAUUCCACUUUUCUUGCUGGUUAUCUUUACUAUGAUUUGUGCCCAAGGCUUGUUGCAAAUGGACGGUUAAUAGAGGAGUGCUGAAAUGGUGAUCAUAUGCUAUCUUGAGGGAUCAAGAAUGUUUUGAUGCAUAGAGACACUAAGCUAUGUUAGAAUUUUUAUGUUUUGGUUGAACUUUUAUGUUAGAACUUUUAUGUUUUUGUUGAACUAAUCAAUGUACU